UACUGAAAGAAAGGACAC
rnacentral:misc_RNA from 1 species